AUUAUUUUAGCAAAUUAGUGNAUUAGUGUAUUAAAUUUAGAAUUUAAAUAAUAUAUAAUA
rnacentral:tRNA from 1 species